UACGUAGGUCCCGAGCGUUGUCCGGAUUUAUUGGGCGUAAAGCGAGCGCAGGCGGAAGAAUAAGUCUGAUGUGAAAGCCCUCGGCUUAACCGAGGAACUGCAUCGGAAACUGUUUUUCUUGAGUGCAGAAGAGGAGAGUGGAACUCCAUGUGUAGCGGUGGAAUGCGUAGAUAUAUGGAAGAACACCAGUGGCGAAGGCGACUCUCUGGUCUGCAACUGACGCUGAGGCUCGAAAGCAUGGGUAGCGAACAGG
rnacentral:rRNA from 1 species